rnacentral:rRNA from 1 species
AACGAACGCUGGCGGCGUGGAUAAGACAUGCAAGUCGAACGGAGAGUUAAAUUAGUUUACUAAGUUAACUUUCAGUGGCGCACGGGUGAGUAACACGUGAGCAACCUGCCCUUAAGCUAGGGAUAGCCCCGGGAAACUGGGAUUAAUACCUAAUAGUCUCGCAAGAGUAAAGCAGCAAUGCACUUAAGGAAGGGCUCGCGGCCUAUUAGUUAGUUGGCGGGGUAACGGCCCACCCAGGCGAUGACGGGUAGCCGGUCUGAGAGGAUGUCCGGCCACACUGGAACUGAGACACGGUCCAGACACCUACGGGUGGCAGCAGUCGAGAAUCAUUCACAAUGGGCGAAAGCCUGAUGGUGCGACGCCGCGUGGGGGAGGAAGGUCUUCGGAUUGUAAACCCCUGUCAUGUGGGAGCAAGGCGUAAGCUUGAUAGUACCACAAGAGGAAGAGACGGCUAACUCUGUGCCAGCCGCCGCGGUAACAC